AAUUACAGCCGCAGGAUGAAUUUAGGAUUGACAGAGGACGUAUAGGGAUGUUUGUGGCAUUGAUGAUGUAGAUAAUUCUAAUAAUCAUUUAAUUAUCAGUGGAACUAAACCUUACAAAUGCAGUAUAUCAGUAUAUUUUUAUAAAUGUGUGGUCAUUUCACAGCUCAUUAAAUGUGCCCAGCUGAUUAGUAUCAGCUUUUUUUAAAAAAAGGUUCUCGUUGACAUUACGUUCUGUAUCCUAACUUGUGCUGUUCUCACAGAUUUCAGGUGAAGACUGACCGCUUCAAGUCCAAGUCUGAAUCCAGCGCAAGCAACAGUGUCGUGCUGUAAAAGGCGCAGUUGUGUAGCAGUUGAGUAUUGCUGGUUAGCUGUUAAGGUGGCGUGUUGCUCUGCUGAGUGCUUGGAUGUAUCCAGUAUUCUCCAGAAUGCUCCUGUGACUACCAGUGGUACGGUUGCUGCAGUCUCGCCCUUUGUAAGAUGAAGUGUUUUUUUUUUUUUUUUCUCCCCAUAAUGGUCAUGGAUGAAAAUGUGAGUUUCAUUAAAGAUUCAGUGUUUUUGUCUA